rnacentral:rRNA from 1 species
CCUACGGGAGGCAGCAGUGAGGAAUAUUGGUCAAUGGGCGGAAGCCUGAACCAGCCAAGUAGCGUGCAGGAUGACGGCCCUACGGGUUGUAAACUGCUUUUAUACGGGAAUAACGCGCCUUACGUGUAGGGUUUUGCAUGUACCGUAUGAAUAAGGACCGGCUAAUUCCGUGCCAGCAGCCGCGGUAAUAAGGGAGGUCCGGGCGUUAUCCGGAUUUAUUGGGUUUAAAGGGAGCGUAGGCCGCAUGUCAAGCGUGCUGUGAAAUGUCCGGGCUCAACCCGGGCCUUGCAGCGCGAACUGGCGUGCUUGAGUCCGCGGAAAGCAGGCGGAAUUCGUCGUGUAGCGGUGAAAUGCUUAGAUAUGACGAAGAACCCCGAUUGCGAAGGCAGCUUGCUGCAGCGGAACUGACGCUGAUGCUCGAAAGCGCGGGUAUCGAACAGGAUUAGAUACCCUUGUAGUC